rnacentral:rRNA from 1 species
AUGAUGACCGUCUCGCUUGUUGUCGCGCUGUUCAACUCGCCCUUCGUCCUCACCACCCUCGCCUUCCUCCUCUUCACCCUCCUCGUCUCCAAGACGCGCAGCAAGGUUGCUGCCCGGGGAACGUUGCCUCCGUCGCCGCCCAGCCUGCCACUCUUCGGCCACCUUCGUCUACUCGGGAGCCUGCCGCACAGGAGUCUCCGGUCACUGGCCGCCUCCUACGGCCCGGUCAUGUACCUACGCCUCGGGCGUGUGCCCACCGUCGUGGCGUGCUCCGCGGCCGCCGCGGAGGAGGCCAUGAAGACCCGCGACCUGGCCUUCGCCAGCCGCCCCAAGCUGUUCAUGGUCGACCGGUUCUACUACGGCACGGGCGGCAUCGGGUUCGCGCCGUACGGCGAGCACUGGCGCCAGGCCCGCCGCGUCUGCGUCACCCACAUGCUUAACCCGCACCGCCUCAUGUCCUUCAGACGCGUCAGGGGGCAGGAGGUCGCCGCCCUCGUCGACCGGGUCCGCCGCGCCGGCACCGUCGUGAACCUGAGCGACAACCUCAUCGUCUACUCUUUCACCGCCAUCUCUCGCGCCACGUUUGGCGACACGAACUACGGGAUCGACGGCGACGAGGGGGGAGCGAGGCUGAGGAAGGUGUUCGCCGAGAUCGAGGAGCUCCUGGGCACGGUCCCCAUGGGGGAGAAGGUGCCAUGGCUGCGGUGGGUCGACGUCCUGACGGGACUGGAGCGGAAGACGAGGCGCGCUUUCGAGGAGAUGGAUGGACUGCUCGAGCGGGUCAUCACGGACCAUCGCCAAAGGCGUGGCGCCGGGGACGACGAUCAGCGUGACUUCGUGGACGUGCUGUUAGGUGCCAACGAGCUCGACACGAACGGCAUCAAGGCCAUCAUCCUGGACAUGCUUGCUGCCGCCACGGAUUCAACGUUCACGUUGCUGGAAUGGGCCAUGGCGGAGCUCAUCAACCACCCGCAAGAAAUGCGCAAGCUCCAGGACGAGGUCCGCACGGCCGUUGGCGACGCCGGCCACGUCACCGAGGACCAUCUGCCGGAUCUGCGCUACCUGAAGGCCGUCGUCAAGGAGACCCUCCGGCUCCACCCUCCCACGCCGCUCCUCCUGCCCCGGGAGACGGUCGAGGACACCCAGCUGCUCGGCUACCACGUCCCGGCAGGCACGCGGGUGCUGAUCCACGCCUGGGCCAUCGGCCGUGACCCAGCGACGUGGGGCGACCGCGCCGAGGAGUUCCUACCGGAGAGGUUCUUGGAGUACACCCACGAGAUGGGGCAAGACUUCGCGUUCUUGCCCUUCGGCGCCGGGAGGAGAGGUUGCCCUGGGGUCAGGUUCGCCAUGCCGUCCAACGAGCUGGCCCUAGCGAGCCUGGUGUACCACUUCGACUGGGAGCUAGUCGGCGGGAGGAAGCCGCCCGUGGACAUGACCGAGCUGCACGGGCUCUCCGUGCGCCUGAAGACGCCUCUGCUUCUGGCUGCUAAACCGUGGUCAGGCCGUGGUGUCGAAUGA